AGAGGGAUUGUUGGGUCAGAUGGUGGUUCCAUUCCCAGAUUUUCAAGGAAUCUCCAUACUUUUUUCCAUAUUGGCUGCACCAAUUUGCAGUCCCACCAAUAAU
rnacentral:pre_miRNA from 1 species